UACACUCAGACCAAAUAAGCUAGUCCCUCGCUAUAUGUUAAGAUACAUUAUUAUUAUGUUAUUUAUAUAGCGCAAUCAAAUUCCGUAGCGCUGUACAAUGGGUGGACGAACAGACAUGUAGUUGUAACCAGAAAAGUUGGACACACAGGAACAGAGGGGUUGAGGGCCCUGCUCAAUGAGCUUACAUGCUAGAGGGAGUGGGGUAAAAUGACACAAAAAGGUAAGGAUAGUAUUAGACUAAUGACAGUUGCAGAAGAGAAAUC